rnacentral:misc_RNA from 1 species
GAAAUGCGAUACGUAAUGCGAAUUGCAGAAUUCAGUGAAUCAUCAAAUUUUUGAACGCAACUUGCGCUGUUGGGUAGCCCCGACAGCAUGUUUCUCUGAGUAUCGAUUCUAACCCAACUCAUCUGCAUGUCGGAUGGAAAAUGAAGUGUCUUGUUUUUUCUCUAAACCGAAAGAACAAGUCCUUUUAAACAUAGUGUGCAUCUUUCACUUAACUGUAUCAGACUACCUAUUGGGUUCGCCCUUCAUCUAGCUGAUGUUGAUAAUUCAGUCCUCUUUAUUGGGGUAACUGUCUUUGACAUCGGGUCUAGGAAGAGUUUGAACUGUAGCCUUUGAUUCGAAAGAAGCCGUAACAAAGGAAUCAUCUUUUUUUUGAAUUUGAUCUCAGAUGAAGCAAGAUAAC